UACGAAACAUCAAACUUGGACAGAAAGUUCAGCUUCGUUAGAGAUGAUGGUAUGCUCCCACUGAGAUCAUUGUGGGCUAAAUCCAAUAUUUCCAAGCUCGACAUAUUUGAUAACUCAUCAGGAAUUGGCCCAGAAAAAUUGUUAAAGCUCAAGUCCAGCACAUGAAGCUUCACUAGACGGCCAAAGGCUGGCAAUAUUGGCCCAACAAGCUUGUUAUUUGAGAGGAUCAGUGAUGACGGGAAGCUACUGAGUUGGUUGUACUGCAAGCCUUUACCAGUGGAAGUCGAAUUCUUCUUGACGAAUAAUGGGAGGUCUCCUGUUGACGCCUGCCCACUUGAGCCAUUACUUGAAAUUAAACUCUUCAUCUGUGUAAAGGUUGCAGGAAGCUCCCCACUGAAUGAGUUGUUGGACAGAUCGAUGUAGAAAAGACUGUCGAGGUUGCCUAACCAUGGCGGGAUCUCCCCAUGCAAAUUGUUCCAUGAAAUAUCCAGCACACUGAGGCUCUUCAAGCUCUGCAGCCAAGGUGGAACCGUGCCCAAGAGUGCACAGUUCGCCAGGACAAGAACCUGCAUUCUCUUGAACCCUUCGAUGCCGUCCAUUGGCAUGGUUUCACCACCACGGAAGUUAUUGGUGAGCACCAAGCUAGUUAAGUUGGGCAGGUGCUGCAAGACUUGCAAUGCUGAUGACAAGUUGGUAAAACCAUUCCCCGUAAGAGAAAGGUAUGACAGUGAUGUCAAAUUCUUGAAGCUCUCCGGUAGCUCCCCCUGAAGCUUGUUCCUUGCAAGGUUCAGCGUCCUCAACUCAGUGCACGAGGCAAGGCGAGGCGGUAUAGCACCACGCAGCUUGUUGGUCCCAGCAUCAAAGUUGUUCAGCCUCGUGAGCAAUCUGCAGUCAAUGGUAAUCUCACCGGACAGCGAAUUGUUCCUCAGGCUGACCACUCUAAGCAUCGGGCAGCUCGACAGGGAUAGAGGCAAUGUGCCAUUCAAUUGGUUGGAAGCCAAGUUUAAGGACUCCAAGCUCCUCAAUUUCCCAAACACAUCAGGGAUAUUGCCAUUGAACAUGUUAUAUGACAAGUCAAUCUGCGUAAUCUCAGUGAGGUUACCGAGGUCGUCGUCGAGGCUGCCGGAGAGCUUAUUCUCCUGCAAACUUAGUUUUCUCAGCGCUGGCAUCAUGUACAGAUCUUUGGGGAGGCUCCCAGUAAGGCCAUUGCCAUCAAGGAAGAGGUCGUUGAGCAGCUUGCACUGACCAAAGCCGGCCGGCACAUCACCAGAGAAGGCAUUCGCCGAGAACCGCAGGACCUUGACCGGCGAAGCGCAGAGCGCGGUGACGUUGAUGCCGCCGGAGAAGGCGUUGCCGGUGAUAUCAAGAACCGUCAGGUUCGGCGCGCCGGGGAACGCGGGGUGCGGCCCGGUGAACCCGUUGGAGGAGACGUUCACCACCUCGAUCGCCGGGAAGCCGCCCGCCGGGAACGCGCCGGCGAGGCCGUUCGCGCUGAGGUCGAGGCGCCGCAGGCUCGGCAGCCGGCCGAGCCGCGCCACCGCCUCGCCGCCGCGAAGCGAGUUCCGGGAGAGGCUCCGGUUGGAGAGAUCCAGCGCCACCACCCUCCCGAGAUCACAGGACACGCCCGUCCACGAGCAGCAGGCGGCGUCGCCGGGGCCCCACCCGACCAUCCCGGCGGCCUUCGUGUCCAGGCCAUCGGAGAAGGCCAGGAGCGCCGCCAGGUCGGUGGGGUCGCACGUCUGGCUCUCGGAGCGGCCGCCAUGGACGUGGAGCAGAACGGACACCACCAAGAAAUGGAAGAAGCAGUAGUAACCUCUCAUCUCCGCCGUCGACGGAAUCAGAAAAUGAACCCCUUCUUCCUGCAGGGCAUGAACAACUUCAAGAAUCCAGGAAAACAACUCACACCACCUUGCAACGAGGCAGCAUGAAUCUAAUCACCAAGAACGAACACGCUCGCAAGAGUCAAGACUCCUCCUCUGGGCAAGAAAUCCAGGAGCGCAAGAACGGGAAAUUCCCUCUCAUUCCGUCCGCCACAUGAGCUGGAUCGCAAGAUUGUGAGGCGCCGAAAGAGGAGGAUGGCAUCACAGGAGGAAGAAGAAGAAGAGGAGGAGAGUGGGGGAAAGUCAGAGGAGAGAAAGAGACGGUUGGUUUUGACUCCAAUGCGGCUCUCAUCAGCAGCCGUUCUUCUUCCUCCCAACCUCUUCACCAGAUUUGUUUAUUCAUUCAUCGCAAACUUAAAAAAAAUCAAUUUCCUCUCUCUCUCUCUCUAAAGCUUUCUCGUGUCCUCUUUUCUCUCACUCGCAGACUCGCUCACUGGUAGGCCGCACCAGUGCUAGUUGCGCAUUUGAUAUGGUGACGCAAAGCAAAGGCGGGGGAAAUUUAAUAAGCGGCGCGUAUUUUAGUGGAGAAAAUGGGUGAGGAAAAUAAAUGCCGGGUACUUCGUGGGCUGCUUGGACUUUGAAGAGAGAUAGACUGAGGGGGUGUUAGGCCAGUCACAAUGGGGGUUUCACUGGUGUGUCAUGCACAUUUAAUAGGGGUAAGACUGAAUAAAAAAUGAUUAUUUGCAUGAAAUGGGGAUGAGAGAGAAGGAAAGAGUUUCAUCCUGGUGAAACUCGUCAGCGUCGUUUCCAAGUCCUCGGUAACAGAGUGAAACCCCCGUUGAGGCCGAUUCGUUUCAUUCACCGGAUCUCUUGCGUCCGCCUCCGCCGUGCGACCUCCGCAUUCUCCCGCGCCGCGCCGGAUUUUGGGUACAAAUGAUCCCAGCAACUUGUAUCAAUUAAAUGCUUUGCUUAGUCUUGGAAACGUCAAAGUGAAACCCCUCCACUGUGGGGAUUGUUUCAUAAAAGAUUUCAUUUGAGAGAAGAUGGUAUAAUAUUUUGGGUAGCCGUGCAAUGACACUAGCCAUUGUGACUGGCCUUACAUCGAAACGUUUCAACACCAGUAUAAAAUAUUAAAUAUAGGUUAAAAAAUAACUAGUUGUAUAAAAUACGACUAAUUUAUGAGACGAAUAUUUUAAGUCUACUUGCUUCAUGUCAACACCCGUAUAAAAUAUUAAAUAUAGGUUAAAAAAUAACUAGUUGUACAGAAUGCGACUAAUUUACGAGACGAAUAUUUUAAGUCUACUUGUUUCAUGUUUUGACAAUUUUACUAAUGAUGGAUUAAUUAUGUUUAAUAAAUUUAUCUCAUGGUUUACUGACGAAUUAUGUAAUUGGUUUUCUUUGUAGUGUAUGAACUCCCCAUAUAACACCUUAUAUAAUACCUUAUAUGACACGUUAAACUUUACACCUUGAUCUAAACACCCUCUCUUGGGCCGUGUUUAGAUCCAAACUUCCAACUUUUUCCAUCACGUUAAUCUAUCAUACAUAACUUUUUAGUCACAUCGUAUCAAUUUUAAUCCAAACUAGUAACUUUGGAAGUACCUAAACACACUCUUGAAGAAUAAGAGAAAGAGAAAGGGGCAGGUCAGAGUCAAGUCGAUGGCGACUGCAACGGGUGGAGCAAUUGGUGGACGGGUUACUGUUACCACUAAGCUACGAGUAACGACGGGUCUGCGCUGCAACAUCAAUGCGUGGAUGGAUGGAUCCGAUGCUGCUGCUGGUGGUGGUAGAACUGUGGAGACAGUAGAGGAUUAUUUUUCCCCGAUCAUUUCACACAUAUUAAUACAUAGUAAUAAAAAGACUACAAUAUAUGUAUUUUGGCCUGGUUUAGUUCCCAAUUAUUUCUUCAAACUUUCAAUUUUUCCAUUACAUCAAAACUUUCUUACAAACACAAACUUUCAACUUUUCCGUCACAUCGUUCCAAUUUCAAUCAAAUUUCUAAUUUUGACGUGAACUCAACACACUCUUUAUCAAAUUAUAUUGUAACUAUUCUUUAUUUAUCUAUUUUCAAUGUAAUUAUUCUCUGUUUUCAUAGACUCCAAUGUAAUAACUAUUUAAAAAUAAACUUAUUUUUGGAUAAAUGGGAGAAAAAUGAAUUUACUAUGAAGCGAUGAACUAAGUGGUAGUAACUGUUCACUUGCUCAGUAUUAAUAUGAGCUUUUGCUUACGCUGGGAGAACCAAGAACAGUGGAGUAUAAUGUCCAUCUUUUUUUUUUAAGAAAAUGUCAUGAUACAAAUUCCUGUGUUUUAAAGAAGACCACCAUUGUUGUUGGAAAAUAUGCAAUUUUUUAUGUAGUUGCUGAAAAUGUUCACUACAUGUAUGCACAAAAUUUACUGUGGUUUUAGACCUGGUUUGAUGCUAAAUUUUGCCACACUUCCGAUCAGUUUUUCUUCUUUUGGGGGAAUCGUAUUUUUUUUUUUGGAUUGACAAUUGUGCUAGUUCUUUUCAUUUUCUUCACUGGAUAAUUUUUUCCUAAUGCUGUAUGUUUGGACUACAUGUUCUAAGCUACUCCUUCCGUUCCAAAAUAUUACUAAAAGUUUUUGUUGGAUGAGAUAUAUCCUGAUACUAUGAAUCUCGACAAGUAAUAUGUCCAAAUUCGUAGUGCUAGUAUGUGUCCAAUCCAACCAAAACUUUUUAUAUUUUAUGAUGGAGGGAAUAUUCCAUAUACUAAGUAUAUUUUUAAAAUAUUUAAUUUAUCACUAUGACGAAUAAGGCCAUGUUUAGAUUCCAACUUUUUUUUCAAACUUCCAACUUUUCCGUCAUAUCAAAAUUUUCUACAUAUAAACUUUCAACUUUUCCGUCACAUCGAACUUUCCUACACACAAAUUUUCAACUUUAGAGUCACAUCGUUCUAAUCUCUUCAUACUUCCAAUUUUGGUGUGAAACUAAACACAAUCUAACCUGUUUCACGCUGUCUUAGUUAAUGGCUGCCAGAUUAAUCCUACAUUGACGAAUUGAUGAGAUACUAGUACUACGUUAAACGCUAUGGUCAUUUGCAGAAUACUCCUACUACUCUAUCCUAAAAAGAAUCCAAUCCUAGUAAUGAAUCUGAACACAUAUGUGUCUAGGUUCGCUGCUAGUAUUGGUUUUUUUUUUAUGGAGGGGUACACUUCUAGUACCCCUGGUACGUACUGCUGCUCCUCUUUUGGUUUUGAUAUGGACCUUUGCAUGCAUCACUGAAUUCUCUUUUCCAUCCGCUGAAUUUUGUCUGCGUGUAGGUAAUGCUCGUCUUUAUGAAUGUGCAGAAUUUUAGGUGAAUGGCUGGCUAGUUCAGCUGCUUGGGACAUCCAAGAGUAAAGCAUCCAAAGGCAAAGUCAGAGCUGUGUCCAGCGAAAAAAAAAAGAUUAAAAGACGGGUCGUGAAAUUGAAAAGAUGAGAAGGAAUGAAAUGGCAAAAGGAAAGUAAAGCGGGAAGGUCCAAGCUAGGCAGUGUUAGGCUCAGGGUUUUCCAAACCACCGAAACCGGGAUUAAGCACGGUUACCGCGCGGUAACCGUAUAAAACCGUGUAAAAUUUAUCAAAAAUUUAAAUUAUUUUUUAAAUUUAUUUAAAUUUAAGGAGGUUACCAUGAUAUUUCUAUUACCGUACCUCGCGGUAAGGGCGGUUACCAACGGUAAUGUAAACGCUGGUUAGGCCUACCAAUUACCUUGCUGGCGAUGCAAAGAUUUUACUCCAGCUGGUACUCCAGGUAACAACGCUAGAUAGGAGUAUCAAAGUUGUAGAUUCUGGUACAGUACGCGAAAAAUUGUCCUGAAAACAUAUGCUACUCCACUAUUCAACUUGUUGUAACGUGGAAACAAAAACAGCAACAGCCUAUUCAGGUUGUGUGUUUGUCGAUGUUGUUGUGGACGAUAAGCGGAGGACAAAUUAUCAUCUGCAUUUGGCUAGCUAGCUGUCCGUGCAACAAACGAACUGUAGACCUAACCGAUGCUGCUAGGUGAUCACUCUGUCAGUCACGGAGACAGACUUGGUUGUUACUCUACCGGUUGUUGGAUUUUCUCAACCAUCUUUGUGGCAACAGUUCGUUGAUAAUCAUUUUUUUUUCCUUUGGAGAAAAAAAAAAGGGGAAAAAACGCAUUCCUACUUUGGUCAAGCACGCUCGUCUACUUGGCGCAUGGGCUUAAACGCCUUCGCUGUGGUGAACAGUUGGACGUACGCAUGGCGCGAGACGCCGUGGCGUGGCGUGCGCGUGCCGACGCGUGGAGGGCGUUUUCCGCGUGCGAACGAAACGCUCGCUCGUGCGCCGCGGCCGCCGCGCCGCGCGCCGAGGCGAGGCGAGCGAGCAGCCGGCGCGCGUCGCGCGUCGCGGGCGCGUAUGCUACGUAUGUUCAGUUCGACGCGCGCGUUGCGCGCGCGCACGCCACCUCGUCGGUUUCUUUCCGCGCCACCGCUCGCAGCUCGCCUCGGUGGAGGGGUGGAUCUCGGGGCCUAUAUUUGUUCUCUGACUCCCAUAUUCGUCCUCGGAUUCCUCCUCUCGAGUCCUAUAUUCGUCCUCUAGGAUUCCAUAUUCAUCUUCUAGGGUUUCAUAUUCGUUCUCUGGAAUCCCAUAUUCAUUUUCUAGGGUUUCAUACUCCUCCUCUCGAGUCCUAUAUUCAUCUUCUAGGGUUUUACAUGAGUCAGCUCAACCCAUAGGGCUCGGUUGUUUGAGCUCAUUAUCUUAACGACUCUGCUCGGUUCGUUAGCGCUAACAAGCUAUAAAAGAUUAGGUUGGUUUGGAAGCUACUCUUUUUUUUCACAUUAUAAAUUAUUUUACAUCUUUUGAUCAAUUUUUUUUAAGUUUGAUCAAGUUUAUAAAAAAUAUACUAAUAUUUUCAAUUCAAAAGAAACAUAUUAUCAAUAUAUUUAAUAUUAACUUUAAUAAAACUAAUUUGGUAUUAUACAUGUUACUAUUUUUUUUAUAAAUUUGAUGAAACAUAAAGAAUAUUGACUAUGAAAAAGUCAAAUAACUUAUAAUAUAAAACAGAGAGAGUAGCUAGAUAAAUUCGUUAGGCUAUCGAGCUAUACCUCUAAGUAUAUAUGAAGACUAUGAGUUCAAAUCAAUCCGAAUCACGAGCUUUUAAGUUUUUUUUUGUCCACACCUACCUCGGUGGCUGGCUUGGCUUUGCUUUUUCCGCCUAUAUUCUUUGCUCCGCCCUGCAAGCAAAGCGGCUUCUCAAAUUGCCCAUGCAUCCGUUUCCACUGGACCUUCUCCUACGCAAAUUGCUCAUGCAUCUGUUUCCACUAGACCGGGCACGUUUUCGCGACCCGUUUUUGGACCGAUUCUCUCGUCCGUUAUUUUCAGCGAAUUUCUCUAGAAACGGCGACUGCGAUUCGGGCCGUCCUAUUUUUACUCGGUCUGAAACUAAGAAACACAUGCAUGGACGACGUUGCUAGCUAAUACUAAUAUUUAGUAUUACACGGUUUGACACUAUAUAUUCACAACAAAUUAAGACGACUGUAUAUGAAAGCGAUUAAAUUAGUGAGGACUCAGGGUCGACCCGGUUCUUCAUUUCUUUGCAUCUUAUUCACCAGAAUAUUGAAACGGAUUGUUUGCUCAUAUUUCAAAUAUUAUGUUUUCUUUAAAAACUUCCCUUUAGCUUAGACCAUUUAUUUUAACUAUCUAUUAAAUUUAUUUCUUAAAAUAUUUAAUAUAUUUAAUUUAUCACUAUAAUCGAGUAGAUAUAUAAUUCGUAGCAAUAAUUUACCUAAUAAUCUAAUCAAACAGCUAGCUAUAGGGAGGAUCAAUGGUGAGCAUGCAUUUUUGGUUUUUCUUCCUCUUCUUAUUUUUUUUAGAGAAAAUCCUUCCUCUUCUUUUUUAAAAAGAGAGCAAAGCAUUAGAAUUUGGCCAAGUGGCUAUAUAUGAAAGAGCAGUAGAGUCCUCAAUGCGGUUGGCAAGGUAGCUUUGUUCACACUUUUGGAAAGUUAUAUUUGGGGCCCUUGAUAUCUUGAGUGUAGCCCAGAAAAGGCCAUCGUUUCUGUUUGACUCUUACCUUGGUUCGUUAAAAAAAAAGCUUGUGUGGCAUUUUUCAAAGCCAAUUAGAUGGCAAUUUGACCAUUAAACUUUGUUAUCGCUUUGUGCCAAAGUAUACUAACUAGUGUCUCAAUAUUAGUAGUAACCAAUUGUGUAGCGAGUCACAAGUGACACCUCAAAUUAAAGUUGUGUCCUACUAGUAGCUAUAGCAGCCAACAUCCUAUAUGCUGUGCUUGCUGUGUAAGCAAACAUCUAUGCCCCUUUUUCUAUGAACAACUGAACUGAACUGCAGUCUGAACAUAUAUGCUACUAUGCCUCAAAUGCUGAAACAUUGAAGAAUUGAAGCAAAGCCAUGCUUACUGCUCAAGUUAUACAUAGGUAAUCAAGCUAGGUGUUUCUUACACCGAGGUGAAUAUUAAUAACACGUUGACGCAGCUUAACAUCCGCGGCGUCCGUGACGGCCACGUCGGGGACACAUGAUCAUGACAUUUUCUGCAAUUUUGACCCAGAAAAUCUGCAGAAUUCAGCCAAAAGCAAGAGCCUACUGGUUGCUGGGAACGAGACGUGUGUUUAACGUUUAUGCAUCUGAUACUAGAAUAUGGAGUAUAGAUCAUAUAGACUGAACAAGUACAGAGAACUUUGCAUUCUCCAAUUGCAGAAAAGAGAGAUAUAUGUGCAUUGCUGCAUUGCUUCCAUGGCAAGCAUGUUUCCUUCAGCUUUCCACGAAAGGUUAAUUACUGCACUAUCUAGCUACUAGUAUUAGUAUAAUCAAUCGCAGUUAGCUAUCUCUAAGCUCACUGGAUGGUGUGUUAAAAAUGGCAGCUUGGUGCUGCUGCUGCGUUGACGUCGCCAAGUCAAUAUCUCGAACGUGGUGUAACCGUUGUGCUAGCUCCGAUAAUACUAUACUACAUUACUAAUAUAAUCGACUAGCUUUGCCUGGGAUCACGGUUCAGAAAGUUCAGAAAUGCAGAAUCACAUGCAGUUGAUUAAUUUAAUUAAUUAACCUUCUUCUUCUACUACUACCCCAAUAGUAUCGAUUCGAAGAACAACCUGGCUGUCGAUUUGCAUGCAGAUCGUGUCCUGUUCCCAUAUGGUGAUGACAGUGAGAAAAGGGCUGGGAUCAUACAGUGGUCAGUGGAGUUGCUAGAUCAUGUCAGACCAGAACUGCAUGCCAAGAAGAUAGUGCAAGCGUUGAUCCUGAAAAAGAAACCGAAUAGAUUAUCCAAGUUUUGGUCGACACACAUGACCACCAACUCCUCACCUAGUCACCUUGUUCUGCCCCCACACAAUACAAGUCAACUUCCCAACUUGUUUUGUUGAUGAGCAGGAAUCCAAUUAUUAUGGCAUGAUAUAUUGCAAAUCAAUAUAGGAUGGAAAAGGCUAUUACAUUUUUCGAUUUUCCUUAAUUUGUCAAGAACAAAUAAAGAGGCAAGAUUAACUAAGGACGAGGCUUGCAAGGAAUUCAUCAGUUCAGAGUGUAACAGUGGCAGAAGAGAUCGAUUAAUUAAAUCCCCUAAAUCAUGCCCUUGAUUACGGUAAGAAAUUAAUUCAUAUGGGUGGAUCGAUCACGUACGCACUAAGCCAGUCUAUGCAGAGAAACAUGCCAAUGCAUGCUAGCUGAAUUAAGCUUUGCAUUGCAUGUGAGUAUGUGACGCCAAGGCAGGCACUUUGAGCUAGCUAGAUGAGACAUUAGCUGCUAAUUAAUAACUUAUUAAAACUAAGUAGAACUGGUUACAGCUAAUAUUUAAGCUCAGUUCUCACCCAUUAACAAUUAGGGUAGGUUGAUCCGUUAGGUGCAAACCCACAAAAUUGUCAAAACCAAAACAAGAUUCGAUUCAUACAAAACUUAGGUUUCUAUAUGCCCAUAGGACUCUAACCAAGAAAACAGGACGACAAAAAAAUCAGAUAACUUUGACUUCAGCGCCAGUUAGUUAAACCUGCAUUUUUCAUACAUGGAAUCUUUAAUUUACUCCAUAUAUAUAUAUAUAUGCAUAAUACUACAUCAUUAAUUUCUGUUGCUUGCAGUAUCAUACAGUUGAAAGCGUCUUUUUUUCUCUUUUUGAAAAAAAGGUUCAUUUUACUUCCAAACUAUUUCUGUUGAACACUUAACCCCUAAGCAAUUUUUUUCAGCUUAUUUUACACCCUAAAUUAUUUAAAGCGGUUCAACUUGCUUUCUAAUAAUAUUUAUUUUUUUAAUGAAUGGACUGGAACGGCCAAUACAUGAAUGAUAUGUGAUAAUUAUUCGAGAAUAUAAAUAAAUAAAUUAACUGUUAUGAAACUGAAAGGUGGAUUUAAAACAUAUAAGUAUAAAAGAACAUAUAUUAAAAGUUCUUUUAAAAAAGGGGAAUUUGCAAAUUUGCCACCGGUUUUUUCAAUAUUACAAGGAUGCCACUCGAAUGAUAGUUCUAGUGGCAUUUUUGCAAUUUUCUAGUGACAGUCUUGCAAUAAUGAUUUAAAGUAGUGGUAAAUUUGCAAUUGCCCCUUUAAAAAAAUAACAUACCAUUUAGAAGCUCAGAAAAAGCAUGCUGCCAUUUGCAUUCUCCUAUUACGAACAGGUUAUAAAUAAUCUAGAAGCAAGAAGAGCUUGAAGUAAACGCUACAUUGAAACGUUUACAUCUGAAAGCGAGAUGAAUUUAAGUUUAGAUCUGCAAGACGGCAGCAAGUUCAGUCAACACAUGCCGGCGGCGCACGUGGACAGUCGUCGCACGCUGCAUGCGAUGGAUGGUUAAUUUGCUCGUCAUUUCGAUCGCCAGCCACACUGCCGCUGGAGCUAACGUAGCCACGUACGUACGCAUCAAGAUUAGGAGAAUAAUCUCUCGGACAAACGGAAGCUUACGCGAAAAUUUUGACCAAAACUUGUUUGUCUGAUCUGCAUAUGCACUUGGCAGCUGGUCAGUGGCAGCAGUCGUAGUCGGCGAUCUAACGAUGUUGUGGUCUCCAGCGAGUCUUAAUUAGGGGGAAAAAAUGAUGAGAUCACCAGAUCGAUCAGACAGCUGCUGCUUAAUCGUUCAUUAAAAUACCAGUCAUUGUCGAACAAGUACAGGUUUUAGUAUUGCAAAUUUAGCUGGAUUUUGAACUUGAUGUUGAGAGGGAAAGAAGAAAAUUUGAUUAAUAAGGUCUGAGUUUAUUUCAAGGAAGGUAUAUAUGAGAAUCGUACGUUGGACCGGCUGUACGUUGAAGGCUUGAAACGCGUUGAGCCGCUCACCUAUAUGUCCGUACCUAAGCUCUCUUCUGUCAAAACAUUAUCUAAGAAAUUUGUUAAUUAUAGGUUUGGAGAAAGAAUAAUGUUUAUGCAAUUUAUGAUUGAUGGUCCUUAAUACUCUCUAUGAUCUCUCUUUUAGCGUUUGAGUGUGUGUUUGGCUGUGUGCAUUUUAGUGAUGCCGAGUUUGGGAGUGCUCUCGGUGUAAUUGGAUCACCUCGAUGUAUACUUGACUGAGAUAAGUGAAGCUUCUAUUAUUAUAAUAAAACAUAUUUGUUUUUUUAAAGGGAUGUAUUUCUUUAAAGAAAAAAGAAAACAAGAAGGAGUAGACCACUCGACAGUCCUAUCCAGUUCCAGGUUUUUAUGUUUUUUGAUGGGUAGUAAGAAAGACCUCGACCAAAUUCAGUUAAAAAAAAAAAGGUCACGAAGCCUAGCCUCUCGACAUGCAGAAUCCGCUCUAACUCGUGCUUUGAGCUCCCUGUCUCAUAUAUGAUGUUGUUCACCAUAGGUCAUUUCUUAACACAAGUUUUUUUUUUAUCAAUGGACAUGGAGUGAUAUUUUUUAAACCAACUCCGUGCAAAUUUAACUGCAUUUAACUACCUCUAAUUUAAAUCGCAUGAAAUUUAGAAACUAAAUAUAUUACUUAGGUGAAAAAUUAAAGCCGUCCAUUUUUUGAACUUAUCAAAUUCAAGGUGGAAUCAUGUAUUACAUUAGGUUCAUCUCUCAAUUUAAAGCAUGUUUGGGAAGAAACAUAUUUCACAAAUUGCACAGUUAAGGGCCUAGCUAGCAGCAGGGCUCCUUCAGAACAUAUACAAAAAUUUCAGGAUUUUUACACGAAUUACUUCAAUUUUCAUAAAAGGAAUCUCUAAAAUUUCUCCAUUCCAAAGGAAGCCUAAUAUUGCGCGGAAUAUAUGACGAAUCUACCCUCCUAAUUUGUUGAUUCGAGACCGAAUCUCACAAGGGAAAAGAAGGAAACCAGAGUGAUUUUAGAUAUGGGUCCAUGAAAAAAAAAGAACUGGAUGGAUAUAUAUAGCUAGGAGCAUGAAUGAGAUGGGCCUCUGCAUUUGGCGUACUAGCUAUUAGCUGCAGGUGGUGGUGGUGGUUAAGUGUCAGCCUUUCAACUUUUUCGCAAAGCUAAGCAUGCAUGCCUGCCUUGGUGUGGUGCCUAGUAGCACAGUACCAGUGAUGAUCCUGUUCGAUGAACACGAGAAACCGGCCGGCCAUGGCGACUGUUUUCGCGUCAAUGAUCAUCAUUAGGAUCGCUUAAUCGCCAGGGAUUAAUUUUGACGUGCAUGCCCAGGCGACCACCACUGCUAAUGCAAGCAUAGGUUACCACUUGUGUGUUGAUUCCAAAUUGUGCCAUUUCCACUUCUAGUGCCGUGCAUUUAUUCAUGCCUGCAUUUCACUUUCACUUCACGUGGGUUCCUUGAUUCGUUGCUAAUUUUCUUUAAUUUGCCACAGGCAAGUGUUUCUUUUUUUUUACUGUUUAGUGAUUUGCUAUAUGUUCAAACUGUAAUUAAGCCGCUGGUCAAUGUUUUACAGUUGCAGCUGUUCAAGGUUUGAAAUAAUGAUGCAAACCAAUUCCAGCUGAAAAUUAUGCGUGUUCUUUCAAGCUUCAGAAGUUCAGAUUCUGGGUGCUGGGCCAUCGAUCAAAAUCAACCGUACGUUUCCAAGAAAGUUUUAGUUGGACCAUCCAAAGGUUCUUGUUCUUGUUUUGACUUUGGACUAGAAAUGCCGGGGAGAAAAUGGAGUAUGUGAUUCUGUUCCUCCACUUGCACAGCAUUUCUACUUCUUUCUGAAAGAACACAGCAUUUCUACUUUGUUGGAGUGCAGACCACGACAUGGUUCUCCUGAUAGCAUCGUUCUCCUUUUUUUUUCUUUUUUGGGGCUUAUCACAAAAGAAUCUAUAGUGCACAUUGUGACUGCUCAAUUCAUCACAAAGUAUUUCUGUUGGUUAUUAUGAUAGACAUUUUCCAGAAAAAAAUCUUUAAUCAAUGCUGAUCAAUCAUGACAGACUGACAGUAUAGUUUUGAGUUUUCAUCUGGUGCUCCUCUUGUUUCAUUUUUUUAUGCUUAUUUUAUCCAUUCAUCUUCCACAAAGCUUUUAUCCAGGGAAGACCAAAUUGCAGGGUGACAUACACUGACAUGAGGCGACACCACUAGCAUCAUCAGUGGAGGUUAAUGCUAUCUGAACUGGGACUCAGAUGUCUGAUGAAUCUUUACACCCCGAUUAGUGGAGGUUAAUGGUGCAGGCAUCCUAGUUAACAAAAAAAGUCUACUACGAUCGAGUAAUCAUAUCAUUCUUUGACAGGCAGGUCAGUGUGCCUACUAAUUAAGCAAGGGAGACAUCACCUCAAAGUGCCACGAUUGCCAGGCAGCGAAAGGAGGAAAGACUCAUCAAAGUGCCAUGUGUGUGUGCUGCUUGGCACUCAAAUGGCCUAAAGGCUAGACUGGCCUUUCCAGUGCAAGCCAUCAUGAUCCGACGUGGCAAGCAGCACGAGAUGGUAUAUAAUGGCUACAUGCUAAAUGCUCAAGCCUUUUGUCCAUUCCAUUUGUUGCUAGGCUCGACUAGCCUUUUGCUCAAUCGAAUCAUUUCUCAAACUACUAGGCUUUUAUAUGAUUAAAUUCUGGAUGGGUAUGUAUAGACUAUAGAGAAUGCCCUCCGCUAAAACUGUGAAAAAUAGUACUUGGGCCGAAAUUUAGAUGGAAAUCCUGCCCAUAGUCUACAUAGAGAAUAGACUGGAUCCCAGGCAAAAACAGCCCAACACAAGCCUAUCUAUCAAUCUAUGCCAACCAAGCUUGCAUAUUGGCAUCUCAAAACUACUAUCUAGCACUACCCAUAUAUUCCAGGAACACUAAAUGUACACUAGAGUAAACGAAAGAUUAAAUUUGACAUGGGAACUAGGCAGGUAUGUAUAGCUAACUGGAAAACCGGCAACACAACCCAUAUGGACACCGAAGCAACACAACCCAUACGGACACCGAGGCAACACAACCCAUACGGACACCGAAGAUACCAGCCAUGACAAAGUUUACUGCCAGGGAUGUGCAACGAUUCACGUUCAAGUCGACAAGGUGACAGGUAACCUACAACAAACGAAUCCAUCCAACCGGUUUACACCACCUAUAAGUUAAACGGACCGACCCAUGGACCAUGGUACGACGGUAAACGCUUUUUGGGCAGGACGGUGUAUAACAUUCACAUCACAUGUACAGCACUAGAGAACGGCCCAGCAAAAAGCAAAGAGCGAUCAGCACAAGGGGCUGCAACAUCUACCUGCCCUUCUCUCGAAGAGUUGAUAGGGCGACGAUGGUAUCAGCUGCCCGAGCGACAUUGCUGCUGCUAGCAUCGUCUGGCCCAGACGAUUGACUGUGCACUCCACUCUGUAAAUGCUGGCCUUUUGACUCCUUAGGUACUGCAGUCACCAAGGAAGCAUGAGAGUUAGCAAAAAAACAAGUGAUGUUACCAACAAUGUUGUUCCAUGGCAAGAGUUUCCAAGCACCGUACUGGGUGUGGGAGCAUUAUACCCCUUGGUGACUGCAUUAGGUGCUUGAGAGUGCUGGCUUUCUGAGACCAUGCCUGCUAUUGGAGAUGCAUCGUCCUUAGGCUCCUUACUUGAUGCUGGAGGGUCAUGGACAUUCGGUGCAAUACUCAGAGAUAGAGAACCACGGGCCUCAGUGGCCAAAGCUUUAGGAUUUCCAUGCCCUGCACGUUAAUGAAAGCAUUGAUUAUCUACAUUUUGUACACAAGAAUAACCCUUGAAGUGCUACAGAUGAUCUGCAGUUGGAAGAGGGUAAACCUGGUGCAUGUACUGGACGUGCGGCACCUGAUGUCCCAUCAUGGCCUUUACCUGAAUUAAGAACUGGGCUUUGUUGUGAUGAAAUACUCAAUGAAAGAAACUCCUUGUCUUUAGGUGUCACUCUUGGUGCAGAAUUGAGACCUUCUGCACCUGCACAUUUGGAAUUUCCCAAUGCCAAACUAGGAACAAAAGAUUCACCGCCCUUUGGCCUGAUACCGGGAGGUGUCACUCUUGGUGCAGAAUUGAGACCUUCUGCACCUGCACAUUUGGAAUUCCCCAGUGCCAAACUAGGAGCAAUAGAUUCACCGCCCUUUGGCCUGAUACCCGGAGGAGUCACUCUUGGUGCAGAAUUGAUACCUUCUGCACCUGCACAUUUGGAAUUUCCCAAUGCCAAACUAGGAGCAAUAGAUUCACCGCCCUUUGGCCUGAUACCCAGUGGAGUCACUCUUGGUGCAGAAUUGAUACCUUCUGCUCCUGCACAUUUGGAAUUUCCCAAUGCCAAACCAUGAACAAGAGAUUCACCGCCCUUUGGCCUAAUACCCGGAGGUGUCGCUCUUGGUGCAGAAUUGAGACCUUCUACACCUGCAUAUUUGGAAUUUCCUAAUGCCAAACUAGGAACAAGAGAUUCACCACCCUUUGGCCUGAUACCCGGAGCAAAAAUCCCACAACUUUUAGAGGCAUUAUUUGGUUCUGUAGAAGCACGACCUGAAGGUCCUGUGCUUGGUCUAACAGAAUUGCAAACUUGCGCUGCGAGAGAUGCUGAUUUUCCAGAUGGCAUCCUUAAAAGGCCAUUAUGAGCUACAGGUGCCACUCUUGAUACCAAUGGAUCUUGCCUUUUGGCACAAUCAGUAGCAAUGUUUCCUGAUAAAACGGUUUGUAUAGGAGAAUCCCUCACUUUGGGUUCCACACUUGGAGAAGCCCCAUGUACGGGGCCGACAGAAGUAGAAGUUUCCGGCACACCUUUUGGUGCCAGAGAAUCAUAGCCCUUGGAAAUCAUGCCUGUUGCAGGAGUAUCACAUCCUUUGGUGCAAAGACUGGUGCUGUUUUCAGCUACUGCAUUUGGGGCAUGAGAAUCACCAUGCGCAACACUAACAAUUAAUGAACAAUUCCCAGUUUGAUCCAAAGACCUGUCUUCUGCAGCUGUCCUCGCAGGAUCAGAAGAUGCUAUUUUGCCAGCAGAUUUAUACCAUAAUGAUGGCUGCAACAGAAGCCAAGGACACAAUGGCAUCAGAAGAAAGGUGCAGUUAAUCACACCAGUACAGAUGCAGCAACAGCUAUGUGAAAUAUGAGUACAGAUAAACUGGUACAGUAAAAAUAAGAGGAUGCCUGAAACAAGUGAGGAAAAUUUCCAAAUAAUUUAUCCAAACAUGAAUUCAAAAGGCCUGUGCCUGUUUUAGGCAUGUUUGGCUGCUUUGAGAGUUCCCUAUAUUUUUUUCAAGGCCUUGCUAGUUUCCUAGCCCCUACCAAUUUUCUUAUUACUCGUUUAAAAAAUUUAGCAGAUAUUUCUUUAUUUGACAAAUAUGUGUGAUUUGAUAAACAAUGUGAUAAUAAACCAUCUUAUAAAAAUUGCAACACCUGAACAAAAACUUCCUAAAAUUGUGCCUGUUGUCGUAUGCAAACUUGUCCAUAAUGUAUUAAAAGUAUAUGAGCAUUAAAAGUAUCCUUAGUAUGGAUGUGAACUGAGAAAACAAGCAUAUGUCACCAGAAAUUGUUUCGAAGGAUAACAGCAGGGGACAGCCGACUUACACAGUAAUGAAGCCUCUUCAAGGUUUCCAAAAGCAACUUCUCUCCAACUAAUAUUAUCAUUUGCUUUACCAUCUCCUCACGAGUUAUUUUGUUUUCCUGUCAAAUAAACAAUUAAAACAUUUUAGUACCCAUCACACCAACCAACCACACAGCCAAUGCUAAUAAAUAAACACAGUGUAACUUGUUGGUUAGUUAGUACCUUCAGCUCUUCAUAAUGAUGGAAGAGCAAUUCCCUUGCUACCGAUGAUAUAUUUUCUUGAAUCAUGGCAAAAAGAACUCUGAAGGAUAUCCAAGGGGAAGUUGGUCCCUCAGCAUUUCCACUCAUUAUCUGCAUAAAAAUGUACAACAAAGCCAAGAUCAUUUGUCAUUUAAAGAAGGGAGGAACAAUCUGUAGUGAAAUUGGAUUGCUCUCAGAUCAGACUUCUAUUCUACCACUGUUAGCAGUACAUGCACAUCUAGCUGGAAAACCAGAGUGUCAAUGGAAAAGAAGAAACGAAGAAAACUAGGUUGCCUCACAGGUACAAGAGUAGAAAUAUCCACCGCAACUUCCUUUGGUGAUGGGUGAAACCAUAAACCCUUCAAACCAAGUAAAUAAUCUGAAAACAAGUGAACCAAAAAAUAUAUCACUCCACCUAUAUCAACAAAACAUGAUAAAAACCUUUAACUAUUAUUUAUCAUCUUACUUCGAACUUUCGAGGAAAGCCUGAAACUAACAAGAUAUUCUAAACGAAUAUGGGUGCUAAGAUGAGAUGGCCACAUGACGUAGCACUUUGGAUUUGAGCAAUCAUCAACACCAGAAUCAUAUAUGUCACUGCUUGGAAAAGAAUCUUGUGAUCCAGGCAUGACAGCCUCCAUGUUCCCCAAAAUCAACCGGCAGAGCAACAUAUAUUGCACUCCUUUUUCGUCAACAUCACAAAGACCAACACUGUCAAGCAAGAUAUAAUGUAAAUACAUAAACAAUUAAAAUGGAAUGGUCAAUACAUUUUUUUAAGUUUAUAAAAAGUACCUGGAAAAUGCUCGGUCUUCUGGUGAAAGAUAAACACCAGCACUCAAGCCUGCCUUCUCAGCAGGUUUUCCAUUGUUACCAAAACCAUUAAUUAGGAUCCUAACUAUGUCAUUCUUCCUAGAUCCCAGCCAUCCAUACCUUACAUUUGCAUCACCACGUUCUUCCUUGGUGGACAUCAUUUGUUUUUCAAAAGCUUGAAGUCUACACUGUGCAGUGAUAUCAUUCGGAGAGUAGCGGUGGAUGUGCAGUAUAUUAUUUGGCGUUGCAAAUGGACCCAUGCCAGAGAGGAAAAGGUCCUGCGCAAAAAGAAAGCCUUCACUGCCUCGUUCCACAGAUGCGAUCUUUUUGCGUAAUAUGUCUGCAGUGGCAGGCUUCUGUGGAACUGGAGGACUAGAUUCAAGGACAACUUGCUUCACCACUUCUGGUGGAGAAUUUGCAACCUUAUCCAACAUUAUUCCCUGUGUGGCGCCCUCAAAAUCACCGCCUACUUUAGCCACUUCAUCAGCUUCCUCAUCAAAGAAUAGAGAAGGAUAAAAGCACUUCCCAGUGUCAUCAAACCAUGCCACAGACCGCUGCUUUCUAGAUUUUAGGUUGACCAGGGUCAUCGACAAGAAAUCAACAAGAACAGGCUCAUCGUCCAUCACAGCAACAACACUAGAUUUAUUGCUUCUAAAUUCUUCAAUGAGAGACUUCAUUAUCUGCUCAGGAAAAUUGUGCCAAGAACCCUGUUUGUAAAACAUAACACGGCUGGGCACUCCACUUUUUAGGUAAUUGACACAAUCACUGGCAAGGUUAGGUCGAGUGCAACAGCAUUUGCAGCGCUUGGCAGAUGAAUCAGAUGAUGGUCCCUUCUCAGUUUUGAUGCGACGAGACUUGCACUCUUUUGACAGGCAGUCAUCAACAAGCUUGCGCUUCAAGCACAAGGAAUUGGAUUCUUGUGGUGAUGCCAUGGGAUAGCUCAGUUCCUAGCAGAACAAAUGGAGAAAGAUAAAAGAAUAAACUAAGCCUAAUAUGGUAUACAACUUAACAGAUCUCCCUACAUUUUGACUUCAGUGGCGGAGCAUGCCCUGUAUAAGAUAACAAACAGAUGUCUCGAAUACACAGCUAUAUCCAAUCUGUUCGGCUACUAUAUCUGUGAUAAUUAAAAGCUUUCUAAAAUAGUAAAAUACAUGAGAGCCCAAUUCGCGUUGCAACUUGCGAGCCAAGAAAUCUCUUAGGAACCAACAAAAGAAAAUUCUUGACUACAUCCUCCACUAGAUUAAUCCAUUAAAACUUAAGUUUCCAAAAUAUAGAAUACAUGACCAAAUGAAUACUCCAGGACCACCAAAUCACUUUUAUAUGCGCCUAUAAAAAAGGUAAGCGGUUCAAACAACUGAUCAUCCAACAAACAAAAAUGAGUAUUGCAGCAGGAGGGACACGUGAGCCAAAGGAAUAGACAAAAAAAAAAACAUCCCAUAACGACAUAGUAAAUUACACACACCAUCUCAAAACGGCACAAAUAGCAGUUCUCGCUAUCCAUAUCGCGACAAAGUGCAUUAAAAACAUUAAUAAGAAGCUAACGAAACCUAUUCGGUGACAUUAGCAGGCACCCAAACCCUAAAAAUACUAGUAGUAAUCUACACACGAAGCAAGCCGCUUGACAUUCUGAUGAAGGGAAGAAUAGCACCACCUCUACCAAUCCAUCAAACAGCACCAACGUAAGGUAUCCUUUUAUAUAACUAAAAAAUUCAAACCCUCCACCUGCUAUUAUCCUGUCUACUCGACUGGAAUCAGGGGAUGUGAUACGCGCUAAUCCGCUAAAGCUAAACCCACCCCGUCGACGACAUCCACCCAUCCAUUCCCUAGCAGUAAUCAAGCAAUCAGAGAUACCAACCAGGCCGACGGUCUUCCGAAACACCGGCGAGGCGACGUCGAGGCCCCCCAGAGAGCGGAGACGCACGCCCCCGUCGCCUGACUGAACGGCGCGGCGCUUGUUGUCCCGAUCCCGGUGAGAGACGGCGCCGGCGGCUGUGGCGGCGCGGCGAGGUAGCGAGGUAGCGACGGGGAGCCGGGGAAUCGAGCGAGCGAGCAGGCGGUGGCGGUGGCGGUGGCGGUGGCGCUAGGGCUAGGGCUAGGUCGCGACGCCACACUCCACCAGCAUCGCGCGAUGGGGGAAGGGAAGGGGAUUGUUGAGGUUGGGGAUGGAGAUCGCUCGCUCGCUCGCUCGCGAGGCCCGCAACUGCACGCGCCGCACGCCGCCCGGAUGAAGCAGGCCACGGCCACGGCCACGGACACAAACUUUUGUUGGGCCUCGGCCUCGAGAUAAUUUCGGCCUACAUUGCGAUUUCGGUUUGUGAAAAGGAAACACCACCGACGAUUUUUUACGGUAAGAAGUAUGAAAAGGGCAUUUUGUUAAAGCAGAUGGAGCCAUUGAUUUUCUUUUUAUUUUUUAAGAUGAAGAAUCUUGUUUCUCAAGUAGAAGCUAAUAUUUUUUUUCCAAUAAGAAUGAAAUAUUAUUUUAGCUAUUUUGAAUAACCUGUUGUAACUCAUAGGUAUUGUUUGGCUAGUAACAUAAAAUAAGUUCAUGCUAAUCCUGAAAACCAAGGGAAGAAUGGUGCAUGAAAGCAGUGAAAACGAGCAAAUGACAAAUGAAAGUGAAAAAUAGGCUGUGCCAACUCCCUAAUCCCAAAGCUCCAUAGUUCGCUCUUGAGCUUAUGAGCUGCAGCCAGAAUUUAAAUUUUAAAACUUAAUUUUAGAGUUACUAUAAAACAUUGUAGUCCUUGUUUAUCAAACCAUGCUGAGCGCAUCCACAUUAAAAAUCCCAGGAAAAAAAAUACAAUUUCCUAUGCCAACUCUAAAACUUUCAAUUCCGUCUGAGCCGCUCAGUUCACGAAACCAACCUAAAAUGUGUUUGAUGCAUCCUAUUGAUAUGAACAAAAUUAUAUACUACUUUCUCUUUCAUAUUAUAAGACUUUCUAGCAUUGCCCAUAUUCAUAUAGAUGUUAAUGAAUUCAGGCACACAUGUAUGUCUAGAUUCAUUAAUAUAUAUAUAUAUAUAUAUAUAUAUAUAUAUAUAUAUAUAUAUAUAUAUAUAUAUAUAUAUAUAUAUAUGGAUGUGGACAAUGCUAGAAAGUCUUAUAUCCUGAAACGGAGGGGUAGUUCAGAGGAGAAAAAAAAAACAGUAUCUGGCUGAAACUACGCAAAUAUAAAUGUAAACUAAUUACCUUGAAUUUGCAAUAUACAGAGUAUUCCACAGGUUUAUGCUAUAGCUGACUGACAAAUAGCACGUGUGUAAUGCAGAGUGCAGAGAAAAUGCAGAGCCUGCGCGCAUAUCGUAAAUGGGAGUCGUUGGCGGUGCCAGUGCCACUAGCAGAAAACGAGCAUUCAAGAACCGAACCCCAGAUGCACUGCAACUCCACAAAGGCAUAAUUAUUCGCUUCAGAUCUUUUACAGCUAAGCUGGGACUCGCAUGGCAGAAAUGGAUAGCUUCGCCCCAGCUCAUUUACACCAACAACAAUCCAUGGAUCUCUCUUUCUCUCUCUCUCUACCUCUCAACAAAGGCCUCACAGCAAUUUACAUGUACAGAUCAAAAGAAUUCAGGGAGAUCAGGUCAGGCAAAGGUGACAAUGGAGCACUGAUCGAGCAACACUCCCAGCAUUGUGUGUCAGGCAUGAGAGCCUGGCUGCAUCAUUGCUGCUGCUACUGUUGCUUCCUCCUCCAGUUCUCUCCUCCCAAACAAACCAAAAUCUGAUAACGAGAAGCGAAAAUUCCAGCUAUGAAAUGCACUUCUGAAACCGUUGUCGUGUUUCGCUCCGGUGACGACUACGCCUCCGCUUUGCCACCGUUGAUUGCGAGCGUGAAGUAUAUCAGUAUCAUUGUGCCCACGCUCGACCUGCGACGAGAAACAAGGAAGAGAAAUCAAAAUGGGUAUAAUAGGUUUGUAAAAGAGAAGGAAGAUGUGGCUUAGAAAACAAGCAGCUAAAAACACAAGCAAAUGAUAUUUGUACCAUCAAUGGCAUAAAUGCGUACCAUCAAUCAGUGUUUCUGCUAUGAAUACACAAAUAAUCUCUUGGAGCAUGCAAUACAGUUAAUGUGUGAACGUGCAUACUGACUAGGGCCUCAAACCUAGACAAAUGGGCAAGCAAGGGAUAGAGUACAGUAUGUUCAGGAAAUUGUGUAGCAGAUUACUAUGAUAAUGACUGACAAGAAAACCACGCCACACUAUUCAAGUGCAGUUGAACAGUACAGAGAAGCACACACCAGAACAUGGACCACUUGUGGGGGGCAUGGUACCAAUUGGAAACCAAACUCAGUGUCUCAGACCAGUUGCUUCAACAGCAUAGACAUAUUACAAUUUCAGAAAGGCAAGUGACUUACAGAGUUGCAAAGAACAGUAGGAUUUUCCGGGGGUGAACCGAAGUAAGUCGAUUAAACUUCUUGUUCCUUCCUUCCCCAGAGUCAGUUAGAAUAGGUGCACAGGCAGCACAUUGUGAUUGUGGAGUGACCAAGGCUUUGUUCUGCACCAGGGGCAUCUUAAGCUGCUCCAACUGAGAUGGCACAACUGUGGAGAUAAAUAUCCAACAAAAGGGCAAAAAAAAAAACAGCUGUCAGUGUUGAUGCUGUGGCAUACCAGAUGAGUGUAGUACAAUAAAAAAGGAAAACAAAUAUCCUUACUUAUAAAAAUGAUGCUAAAAUUAAGAUUAUUAGGCUUGGAUGUAAACAGAAGUACAAGCUACUAAAGUCCGAGAAUACCAAGCCAAUACUUAUUUAGCUAAAUGUAAAGUUGGAAUUGGAGAAACAAGGCUCCUCGAUCUGCAGGCCACAUAUCGUAGGAACAUGAUAGAAAAAAUCCGCUGGAUGGAAAUACAAGCAAUCACACAAAAGAAAGCUAGCCGCUUUUGACCUUUUUCUCAUCUACAUACAGCUCACGGACACAAUGUGAUGAUGGCUAAGAUCAAAUGGAACUUCACAAAGAUUAUGGUUUGAGUUGAUCCAAACAAAAUAUAAGCUGUUUGGUUUUAAGUAUGCAAAAUGAAAAAUUUAGAAUUACAGAGACUACAACUUUUUUAAGAAAAAAAGAAUUCAGAGAAGAACAGUAGCUUGUUACCCUUAAUAAUAAGUUUCUUCACCAAGUCAUCUUGUUCCUGCUCUUCACCGCUCCUCCUUUCCAUGCGAUUUGAGCCCUUGCGAGAUAGGGCUCUCUGCACAUAAAAAAUGGAAGGGUGGGAGAGUGAGAUAACCACUAUCCUUUUCUUUUUGGUCUUAUGUGAGUCAUUGAACAUACAGUCAUUUUUGGACUUCCAGUGCAGCAUUUAUCAGGUUGCUGAGGCAGCCCUUCAAUAUCCAAUACCACAUUUGCUGCCUUGUCCAUGCUUGUCAUCUGGCCCUGCAAGAAAUCUCUCACUUCAAUGCCAUGUGCAAAAUCACGUUUAGUAGCCAUAAGAUCUCAAAGUACUAAUAACAUGCCCCAUCUGCCAAUAUGAUUAUAUUAUUGUACUAUCAUCUUAUACAGCACCAAAUGGAAAAGUGUGCUAACAUGCUUUACCAACCACUAGUAGGACGUCUCCAUACUCUCUAUUAGUAACGGUAAGCAAACCAUCAUUUGGCAAAGCACAACAAAACAACAUUAUUAAAGCACCAGAACAAUUGUACGGAACAUAAUGAUUUCUUACAAGCUUUCAUUUGUAAGCUUUGAGACCAAACCAACUAAUUAUAAAGGCUGCACCUAUCUUACUGCAGCAAUCAUGAUGCAGUACACGCACAAUUCAGUAUCGCACUAUCAUUAGUUUCUUAUACAAUCUCCUCAAGCUAAUCCAACCUUUCAAUGUCUAAGCAAUACGAUUAAGUAAAGUAGCCAUACUUCCAAAAAGAAAAAUGCACAGAUACAAUAGCGCUACUAACCUGCAGUAAACCUUCUUCCAUAAGAAAAGCUUACCCCACAGCGAAUGUGAAACGUGCAACACGCCAACUACAGACAGGAAAACAAGCAAAUGACAAAUGAAAUGAAUGAAACUGACUAACUGAUGCAAACUAAAGGGGAAAAAACAGAUAGGUAGGAGUAAGAAACACAAGAACAAGCAUCAAGCUAGCAUUUCAUACGAAUAUUGCAGCCAAUAAGUAGGAUCUGAGAGGGCCGUGCCAAGAUUGUGAAGUCUUUUCCAACCGUGCAAGAUCCCCAUAUGUAUGCAAUGUUGCAAAGCAGAUAAGACAAACGGAUAGGUAAAAUUAACAACAGCAAAUGCAUCCCAAUUGGCCCACAUGCUCUCAAGCUACACCACACAUAAUGCUAAAACUAAAGCAGUGCAUAACCUAGUUGGAAAUGGUCUUUGUUGGGUCAUUCCUACCACUAGGAAUCUGAAGCACACACUUAAUAAAAGUGACGAUGUAAGAAAUGGGUCAGAACUAAAAAGUACCUUUUCACUGACUUUUGCUAUCCCCAAUUCCCUCAAGAUAGAAAUGGAUCGUGAUUCGUGAGUCCUCUCCACUUCUCUGCGGCCUCCUUGCUAUCUAAACCUGCAGAAGUAGGUCGCAGCAGUUUAUCAGUAUCAAUUUGUGCUGAAAAUGCUCAAUGCAAUUUGGACCAAUACUCUGUACAAAGCAACUAAAACUUUAGUUUGGCAGAGCAGGACUAACAACGAUUUUUUAAAUAAAAAGCAGAACUGAUGCAAAUGCAGUUCACGCGAGCAAUAAAAUACUGAUCCUUUUUUUUAGAAAAUAUAAAAGAAAAGACUAAUCUUUUCUCACAGAUAACACUGAAAACCCCAACCAUUUCGGAGCAAUAGCGGAAAUACAUUCCGGUAAACACGUCAAAAAUACUCUUAGUGCUCGCCUCACCGAUCAGCCGCAGCCUGCAGCUAACAAGAAUGUUAACCACGGCAUGUACCGCCUACCAAGAAGGAAAAAAAGCUUAAGAAAUUGCUGUAAUUUCACAAAUCCCUCCCGCAUUGCAUUAAACUCGGAACUUGAGACCAGUCAUAGAAAACCAGCAGCUACAUUGCCAAGAACCCAAACAAAACGAGUGACAGAUUUUGCAGCAAACAACCCAAGCAGCCCAAUCACACACGACGAACACAAGCCCCCAGCUUGGCCAUGCACAACAGCCGGAUCCGAGCCCUGGAAUCAAAGGGCCCGUGGAAUGCGUAUGAUUCUCCGCCCCCAAAAGAAGAUGCAAUCAAACAACAAAGCACAAGAGAGAGAGAGAGAGAGAGAAUGAGGAUGCUGCUUUAUUACCUGAUUUGCUUGCUCGUGAGUUGCUGGGUGCUAGCUCCGAUGGAAUGGCGCAAAAGAUUGAGAUGAGAUGUGAUGAGAUGAGAGGAGUGAAGUGAGGAGGUAGCAAAACUGGAAUGAUACCGGAGGAAGCAAAAGAAGAAGAAGCGGUUCUGGUAAUCUGGUUUGGUUUCCGUGGGUUUAGUUCACGAGGCGUCGUUGCGCUUUGGGGGAUCCGGGACCCACCUGUCCUGUACCUCACCACAGUUGAAGCCAAAAGAGGCGUGAACCUGGUCCACAGAGCCAGAAACCCCAGUUGCCUCGGCCGGUGGUACAUACUGCCAUGGACAGCGUCCAGCCAUCGGUAACUGGUGUGUGCCUGACAGGUGGGGCCAAGCGUGCGCGGUAACCGAGACGGUGACGAACGGUCAGACGAGGAGCGCUCGGCUUUCUCCUGUGGGCUGUGGCCGCGGCAGCGUAGUCCAUGGUCCGCGGCUGCGUCCGUCCACCACCUGCGCUGCGCGCCCCACGUCGUCUCGUCUGCAAGCCGAGAGCGCCACGACGCGGCCGCGCCACGGUCUCGCUCUCGCUCUCGCGGCCGCUACACUCGUUGUCGUCACGGGGAGCGGCAGCCGUGGCCGUGUGGGGGAACAAGCUCGUCACGGCUCACGGCCGCGUCGCGCUCGGUCGCCUCCGUUGUUGUGGAGUAAAUUUGCGUCGGUCCGGGUCACAGGCUACAGUGGAAUUACCCAACAACGGGGGAUCAUGGAUUUGACAGUUCAUACUACUCCAUCCGUCCCAAAAAAAAAGUCAAACCCUGAGUUUAUAAUUCGUAUUUUCAUUGUUGUUAGAUGAUAAAAUAUAAUUAAUAUUUUAUGCGUGACUUGUUUUUUUAAUUUUUUUCAUAUUUUUUUCAAAUAAGACGAACGGUCAAACGUUGGGCAAAUAAAUUAGUGUUUGUCUCUUUUUGGGAGGGAGGGAGUACGUUAGGAUGACCCCAUUGACCUCUAUUCAAUCUAAAGCGCUAGAAUCAUGGAAUGGAUGUGACCGGUGUUUGCUGGGGGUGCACGGUAAAGGUGCGCGAGAAAAGCGGCCAUGUCGUACGUGUAUCAUGCAUGGAUCUUUGCUUUAGAUCCCUCUGGCACGUACAACUACAGCGAUCGUCGGUUGCACUUGCAUUGCACAGUAGGGUGUGGGGGAGAAAAACAAAGGCUCGCAUCAAACUUGGCUCAUUUCAACUCGGACUCGAGUCGAGUUAUGUAUACUGAGGUUUUAGUUGGUGAGCUUCCCAAGUCAGUCAGCCUUAGUACAAAAGAUCAUCGUAUAUAUAGGUAGCAUGUGAUAUUUAAUUAUAUUCAAAUUAUAUGUAUUUAUUGAAUUCUUUGGUGGUUAGUGAAUGAAAUAUAGCUUUGUUAUCGAUCAAGCUCACGAGCCGAGCCAAGUUGGCUUAUUAGUGUUAGAAAACGAUAGGCGAACAAACGAUAAAAAACAAUAGAUCAAUCAUCAAAGACACGAGAUUUAACGUAGAAAACCCUCCCAAAACAGGAGAGAAAAAACCACGGGCACCAGCCAGCAAAAUAUCUUCAUUAUAUCUGAGGUAAGGUUACAACGCCGCACGGUGGUUUACAAGAGGUAUAUAUAUGGUGGAACCCUAAAAGGGCCUCCCGGCGACGGACCUCCGCUCCACUACGGCAGAAGCUGGCCUUUAUUAAGUGCAAAUGAAUUUGGAUCACAACUCAACAAUUAGGAAAAUAAGUUCAAAUGAGUUGAGUAUUAAUAAGGUUAGUUACGAAAAAUGCUUCGAACCGGUCGUCCAAUACGAGAGUAAAAAAAUCUGUAAAUUACUCAUCCAUAUAUUUCACUAACUCUCCUCCAUGAUGAACUCAUUCUUACUGCAAUGAAGCUUAUGUCUAGUCAACAUCUGCUUUCCCCUCGUCAUCAAGCCACCGCUAUCGCCCCCUCCUCCCAAGGCUCCUCUCUAUCCUUCUACUUUUCUAGCCCUCUAUAUCCUCUACCAUCCCUCAUUUUCCCUAAUGAGGCUACCAUGGAGAGACAAAGGAAGGCAGUAGAGAUGGUUUCGCGUAGGAGACUUCUUAUAGCUAACAUGUCCCUCACCGUCACCAAGAAGAAGGUGAAAAAGCGACACUGAUGUAGAUAAAGGUGAGGCCGAUGGGAGCAACUAGAUAUGCGAGGAUGUUGCACAUCACACCAUGGUCUUCGAUGUUACACAUAAUGUUUACAAUAUUACAAACACAGUCUCUUUUGUUCUGUAAAUGGUACGAUGAGUUCUUAAUGGAGCAGUCAUUUUUCCUUAGACGUUACAUUAUUUGAUUUUUUGUGUUAACGUCAUUGUUUUUUAGUGUUGCAUUUGAUUGAAACAUUUUUUUAUGGAACGAUGAAAUGUUUUCGACUGGGUGAUACAAUAUAUUAACAUUUUUUUUGUCAAAACAUGUUUUGCCUAACAAUAAAACAACAUUUCUUUACAUUACAGAUGGUAAAAACGUCGUCCGAUGUUUUGUCUUUUGUCGGAUGUUCGGAUCGUAGUCGCCUCCGGUUAAGGCUAUCCCCAACCCUCUAUAUCAUCUAGUGUCCAUAGCAUUUAAUACAUUGCCACAUAAGCAAAAAUGUGAUGUGGCAAAAGAGUUAAUGAGGAGAGAUGUAAAAAGAUGAAGAAACCAUUUCUCAUACAAGAAAACAUCUAUACACAGGAACCAAGAAUAAAAACAAGAUGAUAGAUGCAUAAAAGGAGAGAGAAUAUAGAUGAUUGGAUGAGAAUUUAAUUUGAAGACACCAUCCAUUUGAUAGAUAGUUUCUACAAGUAUGAAAUCUAACAGAUGGUUUCUAGGUUAGGGAUGGCCUAAGUAGCUAUCGACCCCCUACUGGUUGCACACUGCAGUCUUCCACGGGCACGAGAUGGCCGAGCCGUCUGCGCCCCACCAACCGACCUCAUCCACCUACCCCUACCACCACAUCCCGUCCCGUCUCCUCCCGCGCGCCGCGCAUACGCAUCCGCCUUGCGCGCUCGCGGCGCCAACCGAGCAAAAAAUGGCCACCGGCUCCGGCUGUCCGACUCCAGCCGCGUGCGCGUCACCAACUCCUCCGGGUCCUCCCAUCAGAUGGCGUUGUCCUUGCCUGGAUUCUACUACUACAUGCGGCUACCACGUUCAAACUCGCCGCUAAUCCGACGCUUUAAUUUGUCGGUAUAAAAAAGAUUAUAGUUGGGGACUUGGGAGAGCUCAGCUCACGUCGAUCGUCUGUACUGCACUUGUGUGUCCACCGCGUACGUACUGUAGCAGGUAGGUGUGUUUGCAGUUUUCGUGCACCUGUACGUGCCAGCCAUGGAGUUUGGAGCAACGCGUGACCAUUACUUUCUUUAAUGAGAUCGCCGUCGAUCUGGAGCCAACCAGCCAGCCAACCGAUCGAGAUAUGAAGCUGCCUGUUAUCUACAGUAAUCACCUUGCUGCUCACUGUCUCAGCUGUGAGAUGGGUCACUGAAAUCGCCGAAAUCAACAUAACUUAAGAACUUAAGAUCACAAAAUGCAUUGCAUAAUUGCUUCCGAUGUGAAUAAUUGUUCUGUACUAGUAUAAUAAUCCAUUCUAUUAUUCUGUUUUUGUCUCAAUGAGUCGGUUCAUUAUAGUGGGACCUAACCUAAAUUUCCGGCUGAUUGAGCUACGCCCAUUACUCGUACUCUCCAGUCUCCCACUCACGGGCCUGCUCCAUUUUGGUCUUCUCUGCAUCUCUGAAUUCUGAAUUUCUGAUCAUGCAUGCACCGCUUAUAGACGCAGGAAAUUUCUUGUGCAGUGUAUCGAUGCUGCUGCAGUCGAAGUAGUAUGUUCAUGUGAACUGGAAAAAUUCGGCGGAGCAGAAAGCAAAGGUUGUUGUCUACUGUGAUGGCACACAGAAAUACUAGUAUAAAAACAGCUGCGUUGGAUUGUUGCAGCCGAAGUCCCAACUUGCGGCUAUUUAUAUGCAUGUGUUUCUCUGAUUGUUUAUCUGUCGCGUGCGUACCUCGCCUGAUUUGCAUGCAGUCUGUGUAUAUUUUCAUGUGAAGCUGAGCUAGAGUACAAGCUGAUCGGUUAGUUAGCACUUAGCAGCACUAAUCUACAGCUGGCCUGUCGUGAUGAUUAAAUAAAGAUUGGACAGAAUAAUCCUGCAAGUUGAUGAGGUUUUGACUCCUGUAUAAUCGCAUUCGCAUGUGCCUUCUCCGUCCAGAGCUGCAACCAUACUUGAGCAUGUGUUUCGUUCUCACGGGCUUACCGUUCACUCACCUGGCUUCAAGUAGUCCACUCCUAGACUCCCCAGGUCCCAGCCCAACCAAGCAAAGAAUUAUUAGGCCAUUUCAGACUUCGUUUGAAUAGGGCCCUCAUUGGCCCAUAGGCGUAGAUAGGCCGAGAAAAGAACUGCCCAAAACGAGGCCUGAAGGUUACGGCCCAAGCCUGCGGAGAGCCAACGGAGUCGUCGUCCUCCUACUAAAAGAGCAUCCCCAAGAGUAGAGUAGUAGACCACCCCACCAAAAAACCAGUAUUUCAACAUGAAAAUGAACCUACAAAACGCAUAGACAAAAAAAACUGAACAUCAUAAUUUCAAUUCCGUUACAGCGCACCGACAUUAUACUAGUCAUAUAAAAGAGAAGAAGAGCUCUCCCAUCUCUAUUAACAAAACGGCUUUGUUCAGCUACAGUUAUUACAGAGAGAGAGAACAACUUGAAGCUUAAGUAUCCACCACGCAGCUAUCAACACUGGCACAUCUGUACCAAAUGGAAAUCAUGUCUACAAUACGAUGUGAAAGCAGCACUGCUAAAUGACACCUGAGUUGAAAACAAUCAAGACACCAAAAGCUGGAGAAAUACAAUAUACAGAGUACAUAAUUCGAUUGAAGAGCCUAGUUAGAACUAGUGGAGAACCCCGUCUGACUUUGUUUUAAGGAUGAUCUUUAUGUUCCCAUUUCCUUCUGAGUCUGUUCAAGUUCACCAUUGUUAUCACAUAAAACCUAUCAAAGAAAUUAUCAACCAUCUGAAAAUACGCGGCCCUCCAAGAACUUGCAAAGAACAGUACGUUCCAGACGGUUAACAGUCCAAAGGCAAAUCCAGCUUCCACGGUCAAAAAAAGCCCAAAAGUAAAACGUGUCUCAGAACUCAUUUCAGUCGUGACCGCCCGCUUGUAGCAUGACUGGCUCUGACUACGACACAGCGCAGGAUUGCCCGCGAACUCCUCUUCUGUGAACGUGGAGAAUUGGCCUCCUGCCGGGACAUCUCCAGACAAAUUGUUGUACGAAACAUCAAACUUGGACAGAAAGUUCAGCUUCGUUAGAGAUGAUGGUAUGCUCCCACUGAGAUCAUUGUGAGCUAAAUCCAGUACUUCCAAGCUCGACAUAUUUGAUAACUCAUCAGGAAUUGGCCCAGAAAAAUUGUUAAAGCCCAAGUCCAGCACAUGAAGCUUCACUAGACGGCCAAAGGAUGGCAAUAUUG
rnacentral:lncRNA from 1 species